rnacentral:rRNA from 1 species
UACGAAGGGGGCUAGCGUUGCUCGGAAUCACUGGCGUAAGGGUGCGAGUAGGCGGGUCUUUAAGUCAGGGGUGAAAUCCUGGAGCUCAACGUCCAGAACUGCCUUUGAUACUGAAGAUCUUGAGUUCGGGAGAGGUGAGUGGAACUGCGAGUGUAGAGGUGAAAUUCGUAGAUAUUCGCAAGAACACCAGUGGCGAAGGCGGCUCACUGGCCCGAUACUGACGCUGAGGCACGAAAGCGUGGGGAGCAAACAGG